rnacentral:rRNA from 1 species
GUGGAUUAGAUACCCUGGUAGUCCUAGCUGUAAACGAUGGAUACUAGGUGUUGCGCGUAUCGACCCGUGCAGUGCCGUAGCUAACGCGUUAAGUAUCCCGCCUGGGGAGUACGCACGCAAGUGUGAAACUCAAAGGAAUUGACGGGGGCCCGCACAAGCGGUGGAGUAUGUGGUUUAAUUCGAUGCAACGCGAAGAACCUUACCAGGGCUUGACAUGUCGCGAAUCCUCUUGAAAGGGGGGAGUGCCUACGGGAGCGCGAACACAGGUGGUGCACGGUUGUCGUCAACU